rnacentral:tRNA from 1 species
GGCAGUAUAGCCAAGUGGUAAGGCAAAGAUCUGCAAAACCUUUAUCAUCGGUUCGAAUCCGAUUGCUUCCU